UACGUAGGGGGCAAGCGUUGUCCGGAAUUAUUGGGCGUAAAGAGCGUGUAGGCGGCCAGAUAAGUCCGCUGUGAAAUCUCGAGGCUCAACUUCGAGCUGUCGGUGGAAACUAUCUGGCUAGAGUCCGGAAGAGGAGAAUGGAAUUCCUGGUGUAGCGGUGAAAUGCGCAGAUAUCAGGAAGAACACCCGUGGCGAAGGCGGUUCUCUGGGACGGUACUGACGCUGAGACGCGAAAGCGUGGGGAGCUAACAGG
rnacentral:rRNA from 1 species